rnacentral:rRNA from 1 species
GACGAACGCUGGCGGCGUGCCUAAUACAUGCAAGUCGAACGCAGUGGGGACGGGUGCGUAACACGUGGGUAACCUCCCAUCAGAGGGGAUAACACUUGGCAACAGGUGCUAACCCGCUACUGAUGGAUGGACCCGCGGUGCAUUCGCUAGUUGGUGAGGUAACGGCUCACCAAGGCCACGAUGCAUAGCCGACCUGAGAGGGUGAUCGGCCACACUGGGAAUGAGACACGGCCCAGACUCCUACGGGAGGCAGCAGUAGGGAAUAUUCGGCAAUGGACGAAAGUCUGACCGAGCAACGCCGCGUGAGUGAAGAAGGUUUUCGGAUUGUAAAGCUCUGUUGUUAGAGAAGCGGUAUUUAACCAGAAAGCCACGGCUAACUACGUGCCAGCAGCCGCGGUAAUUC